UUACUUUACCCUGUACAUAGGCCACCGGAUCAACCAGUCGGUGCCUCCCAGAAGAGGCCCUAUCCAUUGCACUUCGGUUGUCUGAACCUGCGAUUACCCUAAUGUGGGUGACUCGGUACGCAAAUUUAUUAGUGUGGGGGUCUGCGAUUCGCGCUAACCCCUG